rnacentral:misc_RNA from 1 species
GAUGAAGAACGCAGUGAAAUGCGAUAAGUAGUGUGAAUUGCAGAAUUCAGUGAAUCAUCGAAUCUUUGAACGCACAUUGCGCCCCUUGGUACUCCAUGGGGCAUGCCUGUUCGAGCGUCAUUUACACCCUCAAGCUCAGCUUGGUGUUGGGCGUCUGUCCCGCUUCGUGCGCGGACUCGCCUCAAAUGCAUUGGCAGCGGUCUUGCCAGCUUCUCGCGCAGCACAUUGCGCUUCUAGAGGCUUUGGCGGAUCGGCGUCCAUCAAGUACACCCACAGUUUGACCUCGGAUCAGGUAGGGAUACCCGCUGAACUUAAGCAUAUCAAUAAGCGGAGGA